UACAGAGGUCUCAAGCGUUGUUCGGAUUCAUUGGGUUUAAAGGGAGCGUAGGCGGCCCUAUAAGUCAGUGGUGAAAUCUCUCGGCUUAACCGAGAAAUUGCCAUUGAUACUGUAGGGCUUGAGUACAGUUGCCGUUGGCGGAAUAUGACAUGUAGUGGUGAAAUACAUAGAGAUGUCAUAGAACACCGAUUGCGAAGGCAGCUAACGAAACUGUAACUGACGCUGAGGCUCGAAAGUGCGGGGAUCAAACAGG
rnacentral:rRNA from 1 species